UUCUCCUACGGGAGGCAGCAGUGGGGAAUAUUGCACAAUGGGGGAAACCCUGAUGCAGCAACGCCGCGUGAGUGAAGAAGUAUUUCGGUAUGUAAAGCUCUAUCAGCAGGGAAGAAGAUGACGGUACCUGAAUAAGAAGCCCCGGCUAGCUACAUGCCAGCAGCCGCGGUAAUACGUAGGAGGCAAGCGUUAUCCGGACUUACUGGGUGUAAAGGGAGCGCAGACGGCAGUGCAAGUCUGGAGUGAAAGCCCGGGGCCCAACCCCGGAACUGCUCUGGAAACUGUGCGGCUAGAGUACUGGAGGG
rnacentral:rRNA from 1 species